rnacentral:tRNA from 1 species
GUACUGGUGUUUCAGUGGCAGAAUUCUCAACUUCCAUGCAGGAGACCUGGGUUCGAUUCCCAGCCAACACA